AGCAGCCGCGGUAAUUCCAGCUCCAAUAGCGUAUAUUAAAGUUGUUGCAGUUAAAAAGCUCGUAGUUGAAUUUCGGGGUCAGUAGGCUGGUCGUGCCUCAGGUACGUACUGGUCUUACUGAUUCCUCCUUCCUGACGAACCGUAAUGCCAUUAAUUUGGUGUUGCGGGGAAUCUGGACUGUUACUUUGAAAAAAUUAGAGUGUUUAAAGCAGGCUAACGCUUGAAUACAUUAGCAUGGAAUAAUGAAGUAGGACGAUCGAUCCUAUUUUGUUGGUUUCUAGGAUUGACGUAAUGAUUAAUAGGGAUAGUUGGGGGCAUUAGUAUUCAAUUGUCAGAGGUGAAAUUCUUGGAUUUAUUGAAGACUAACUACUGCGAAAGCAUUUGCCAAGGAUGUUUUCAUUAAUCAAGAACGAAAGUUAGGGGAUCGAAGACGAUCAGUUACCGUCGUAGUCUUAACCAUAAAUUAUGCCGACUAGGGAUCGGAUGAUGUUAAUUUUUAAUGACUCAUUCGGCGCCUUAC
rnacentral:rRNA from 1 species